AUUGAACGCUGGCGGCAGGCCUAACACAUGCAAGUCGAACGGUAACAGGAGGCAGCUUGCUGCUUUGCUGACGAGUGGCGGACGGGUGAGUAGUGUCUGGGAAACUGCCCGAUGGAGGGGGAUAACUACUGGAAACGGUAGCUAAUACCGCAUAACGUCGCAAGACCAAAGAGGGGGACCUUAGGGCCUCUUGCCAUCGGAUGUGCCCAGAUGGGAUUAGCUAGUAGGUGGGGUAACGGCUCACCUAGGCGACGAUCCCUAGCUGGUCUGAGAGGAUGACCAGCCACACUGGAACUGAGACACGGUCCAGACUCCUACGGGAGGCAGCAGUGGGGAAUAUUGCACAAUGGGCGCAAGCCUGAUGCAGCCAUGCCGCGUGUAUGAAGAAGGCCUUCGGGUUGUAAAGUACUUUCAGCGGGGAGGAAGGGAGUAAAGUUAAUACCUUUGCUCAUUGACGUUACCCGCAGAAGAAGCACCGGCUAACUCCGUG
rnacentral:rRNA from 1 species